AGCGCAACCCUUGUCAUUAGUUGCUACGCAAGAGCAACUCUAAUGAGACUGCCGGUGACAAACCGGAGGAAGUGGGGAUGACGUCAGGUCCUCAUGGCCCUUAUGGGUAGGGCUACACACGUCAUACGAUGGCCGGUACAGAGGGCUGCCAACCCGCGAGGGGGAGCCAAUCCCAGAAAACCGGUCGUAGUCCGGAUCGUAGUCUGCAACUCGACUGCGUGAAGUCGGAAUCGCUAGUAAUCGCGGAUCAGCUUGCCGCGGUGAAUACGUUCCCGGGUCUU
rnacentral:rRNA from 1 species